UCAGAAGUGAAACGUAUUAGCGCCGAUGGUAGUGUGGGGUUUCCCCAUGUGAGAGUAGGACACUGCCAGGU
rnacentral:rRNA from 1 species